UUGCAGUGAGCCGAGAUCGUGCCACUGCACUCCUGCCUGGGUGACAGAGCGACACUCCAUCUCAAAAAAAAAAAAAAAAAAUUUAAGAAAAGCCAGGAAGUUGAGCACAAGAACAUCAAGGAGAACAUCUGGGAUGGGGGUGGGGGAGGGGUUUGUGGGCCUGCUGGGAACUGCCACAGGGAUGGGCCAAGAAGCAUGUGCAUUAGGAGGAUUGUGGCUAACUGCAGCCAAUAGGGGAUCAGCUAGAAGAUGGAGAGCAGUUUCAAGAUGCCAAUGCCUAUAGAAACUGCUUCCUCAGGAGGGCAGGUUCAGGCUUCUGUCUACCCUCACAAACUACAUUAGAUAACUGAGAAAGAAGAGUUAAUUUUUCUUUUUUGAGAUGGAGACUCGCUCUGUUGCCCAGGCUGGAGAGCUGUGGCGCAAUCUCAGCUCACUGCAACCUCUGCCUCCUGGGUUCAAGCAGUUCUCUGCCUCAGCCUCCCAAGUAGCUGGGAUUACAGGCACCUGCCACCACACAAGGCUAAUUUUUGUAUUGUUAGUAGAGAUGGGGUUUCACCAUGUUGGCCAGGAUGGUCUUGAUCUCUUGACUUUGUGAUCCACCCCCCUCAGCCUCCCAAAGUGCUGGGAUUACAGGCAUGAGCUACUGUCCCUGGCCAAUUUUUGUAUUUUUAGUAGAGAUGGGGUUUAAUCAUCUUGGCCAGGCUGGUCUUGAACUCCUGACCUUGUGAUCCACCCGCCUCGGACUCCCAAAGUGCUGGGAUUAUAGGCGUGAGCCACUGCGCUCGGCCUAGAGUUAAUUUUUCUAGUGGGGUGUUUGCUGGCAAAGUAACAAGUUUCCAACAAGGGGAAGGCCAAUGCACCUCAUCAAAAUGGGAGAGUGGGAAGGAAGGCCUGUGACAGAACUUUACCUGUGCAUCCUACCACCCGCCCUGUGUCCUAAUCCCAGCUAGUACUGGAGACAGCAGGUAAGGGUUGAGUCAAAUAUGAAAUAGGAAUUUUUAAGUGGAGAAGUGGACUCAGGACUAAGUCUUAUUAUCUGAAAGUGACUGAAAAUUACCUGACAAAUGUCAGAGGGGCCUAUGACCCAAACGUAAUUACUGGAAAAAUAAAACAUUUGAAAGAACUGAUUGGAGACGAGAUAACCAGUAAUUUCGGGUUUAUUAAACUUAUUAGAAAGGGGCCAUCUGCAGAGCCACCACUUACUGUCCACUCAUUACUGAAAACUCUGUUUCCAUAGUGACCUAAUUAUACUUUAUUUAAUGCAACUUUAAUGAAUGAGAGAACUUUUUUUUUUUUUUUUUUUUUUUUUGAGAUGGAGUCUCGCUCUGUUGCCCAGGCUGGAAUGCAGUGGUGCGAUCUCGGCUCACUGCAACCUCCUCUUCCUGGGUUCAGGCAAUUCUCCUGCUUCAGCCUCCCAAGUAGCUGGGACUACAGGCGCAUGCCACCACGCCGGGCUAAUUUUUGUAUUUUUAGUAGAGACUGGGUUUCACCGUGUUAGCCAGGAUGGUCUCAAUCUCCUGACCUCGUGAUCCGCCCGCCUCAGCCUCCCAAAGUGCUGGGGUUACAGGCGUGAGCCACCGUGCCCGGCUGAGAACAUUUUACAUAUAUGCGAAAUAGCUACCCAGUCCUGAUCGACUAGAGCACUGAGUGACACACAUUAAAUGUUAAGUUUGAAAAGACUGUAAAACAUUCACAUAUGACAGCUCUUAGUGAAGUAAGAGCCUCUCAUAUUCCAUAAUUGUUUGAAACAUCCAGGAGAGCUAGGUCCCGUAUCUCCUCUAGAAGUGUGUAUAGGCUCCUUCCCUUUGUUUGGCGAUAUUCUUGAUAUUCCUCCUGAAUGAUGUUUACUUUGACUUCUUGGGCAAGCUGAGCUUCUUCCACAGAUUUAGUUACUUCUUUCACUAACUCACUCUUCAGCAAGGGGGAACUCUGAUGAAUAAGUUCUGUAUUUGGUAUCUUGUAUGGUUUGUUACUAAUUAUUUCAAGUCUGAUUGUAUCAGAAUGGCAACGUGAGGCCUGUAUGGAUAUUCUUACCUAGCAUAGAGAAGAAAAUACAUAUUACUAAAUCACAUUAUUUAUUCCUUACAUUUAAAAUAUUAAUAAUACUUAAUAGAAACACAGACUUACGGUUACAUGGUCAAACAAAUGGAACGUAACAGAUUCCCCAUCUGUUGUAGUAGAGGUAAUUUUGUUUUGAAAUCGUUGAAGGGAUCCUGGUUUCCAUUCAGAACAGCUAUCUGGGCCACAUGAGAUGACUAAACCAUCUUUAUUUUUUAGAUAAGCAGCACCUUUAAUCCCAAACCUAUAUUAUGACCAGAAUAUAAAUCCAGAGACAAUGUAUUCUUAGUACACAGAUCUUGUAUGCUUAUCUAGAAUACUAGUUUUUCUCCUAGAUUAAAAACAAAUCACUUUUCCUGUGGUUUACCUCCACGUAUUUAUUUCACCUUAGCAGAUGGAAACAAAGUAUUUUGCUGGAUAAGAAAGACCCUAAAAUGGAUAUAGAAGUGUGUGUGUAUAUAUAUACACACACACACACACACACACACACACACUCCAGUCUUCACUUUUUUUUUUUUUUUUUGAGACAGAGUCUUGCUCUGUCGCCCAGGCUGGAGUGCAGUGGCACGAUCUUGGCUCACUGCAACCUCUGCUUCCCGGGUUCAAGUGAUUCUCCUGCCUCAGCCUCCCAGGUAGCUGGGAUUUCAGGCAUGCGUCACCAUGCCCGGCUAAUUUUUGUACUUUUAGUAGAGACGGGGUUUCACCAUGUUGGCCAGGCUGGUCUCGAACUCCUGACCUCAGGUGAUCCGCCCACCUUGGCCUCCCAAAGUGCUGGGAUUAUAGGCGUGAGCCACCCCUGGCCUCCAAUCUUCACAUUUAUAUACUGAAUUAUACAUUACAUUAUGUACAUAUGAUAACUAGUUGCUUAAAUAUUUUAAUAAAUUAUAUCUAAUGUACAGUUUGUGUUCUACACUUUUAACUAUGAUUUCUUAUGCACCAUUGCAUUAGAUGUAACAUACCUUGGUAUAAAUAGAAGCACACCAUUUGUUCUAAUUGAAUAAAUAACUCCGUCAGAUAUGCAACGCUCCUCGGUGGCAGGGUCUUUGUCUUUGAAGUACAUGCACUGGAAGAGCUCAGUAGACUGCUUCUGAGAAUGCUGUGCUGCCUGUAAGAAGCACAACUCCAAAGCAUUUUAACACUCCCCUGGCAUUCCCCAAAGAAACGAAAUUCAUAUUCAUUCAAAUGUGAGAUUCUGUAAAACUAUUAAUAUAAAAAUUGUUCUCUACUAUGAAAUUAAAUUACUUUUUGUGGGAACUUAACCA
rnacentral:lncRNA from 1 species